rnacentral:rRNA from 1 species
UACGAAGGGGGCUAGCGUUGUUCGGAAUUACUGGGCGUAAAGCGCACGUAGGCGGAUACUUAAGUCAGGGGUGAAAUCCCGGGGCUCAACCCCGGAACUGCCUUUGAUACUGGGUAUCUCGAGUCCGGAAGAGGUGAGUGGAAUUCCGAGUGUAGGGGUGAAAUUCGUAGAUAUUCGGAGGAACACCAGUGGCGAAGGCGGCUCACUGGUCCGGUACUGACGCUGAGGUGCGAAAGCGUGGGGAGCAAACAGG